AUUGAACGCUGGCGGCAGGCCUAACACAUGCAAGUCGAGCGAGCGGCGGACGGGUGAGUAAUGUCUGGGAAACUGCCUGAUGGAGGGGGAUAACUACGGGAAACGGUAGCUAAUAACGCAUACCAUCAGAUGUGCCCAGAUGGGGUUAGCUAGGAGGGGGGGUAACGGCUAACCUAGGCGAAGAUCCCUAGCUGGUCUGAGAGGAUGACCAGCCACACUGGAACUGAGACACGGUCCAGACUCCUACGGGAGGCAGCAGGGGUGAAUAUUGCACAAUGGGCGCAAGCCUGAUGCAGCCAGGCAGCGUGUGUGAAGAAGGCCUUCGGGUGGUAAAGCACUGUCAGCGGGGAAGCGUUACCCGCAGAAGAAGCACCGGCUAACUCCGUGCCAGCAGCCGCGGUAAUAC
rnacentral:rRNA from 1 species